rnacentral:rRNA from 1 species
GAUGAACGCUAGCGAUAGGCUUAACACAUGCAAGUCGAGGGGCAGCACAGGUAGCAAUACCGGGUGGCGACCGGCGCACGGGUGAGUAACACGUAUGCGACCUGCCCAUAACUGUGGGAUACCCCGUCGAAAGGCGGUCUAAUACCGCAUGAGGAUAGUGUGCUGCAUGGCAUAUUAUUCAAAGAUUAAUUGGUUAUGGAUGGGCAUGCGUUCCAUUAGGCAGUUGGUGAGGUAACGGCUCACCAAACCGACGAUGGAUAGGGGUUCUGAGAGGAAGGUCCCCCACACUGGUACUGAGACACGGACCAGACUCCUACGGGAGGCAGCAGUGAGGAAUAUUGGUCAAUGGGCGAGAGCCUGAACCAGCCAAAUCGCGUGAAGGAUGAAGGUAUUAUGUAUCGUAAACUUCUUUUAUCGGGGAAUAAAGUGCGGGACGUGUCCCGUUUUGUAUGUACCCGAGGAAUAAGGAUCGGCUAACUCCGUGCCAGCAGCCGAC